rnacentral:tmRNA from 1 species
GGGGACGUUACGGAUUCGACAGGGGUGGUCUGAGCUUGAGUUGCGCGUCGGAGGGCUCGGCUCCGUCAGAAACGGCAUUCUAUAAUAACAGGCAAAACAAACAACAACCUAGCAUUCGCAGCGUAAGCUGAUGAAUCUGCCUUGCAGUUCCAUCGCCCAUGUGGCAUUGUAAGGCUCACCUAUUAGUGGGAUACGACGACUGCCGCCUCCUGAGGCAGCCGGAAGAGACUACCAGGAUAGCGCCUCCGAGUCGCCCUGAUUGUCGGCAAACGGAAGCGCGAAACCCAAUAGACAAUCUACACGCGUAGAUGCUUGAGUGUUGGAGCCUCUGGACGCGGGUUCGACUCCCGCCGUCUCCAUAG